GGUUCGUCCGGAGGGGGCAAUUUGUGGGGUCGGGAUGGGCCAGGCUGGGCCCGACCAAUGUGACGAACACGUCGAGGCACGUCCAGGCCUUUCCAUACCCACCUUAGACUUAGUCUGGAUAUUAGAAGUGCCGGUCAACUUAAACUUAUAGAAUCGAUGUGAGAAGCCCGCGGUUUAGCGAUGGGGCAUUGACCGGACGUACGCCCGAGCAAUUUGGGCACCCGGUCGUAGAUGCCCUGAGAUCUCGGACACUUGAGAGGCCACUCCCAGCCUACUUGGCUGUAGAUGUCCUGAGCAGCCGCCGGGCUAUCAUUGCCAGUAUACAGUGCAUAGAACUCAGAUUUUUAGCAUAAAAAUCGAGAGAUAUUUGUUGCCAUGGAUUGGAAGGUGAAAGGAAUGGGUGAUGGCUACUGCCAUUACUACCACAUCCGCCACCUAUUUCUUCUUGCUUUGCUUGCACGCCUGCAACACCAAUUCCUUUAGCUUCCACUUUCGUCUUUCGACCCCUAUGACGUCUGCCACUCCAAGAGGAUGGUGAAGAACUGAAGAUUCAUGCCUCUUAAGAGCAGACAGGAAGAAGGUUCUGCCUCACCAAGAAGCGAGGUUGUGGUGUUGCUGGAUGCGAUGGUGCCGUGGAGGAUGGAGGCGCGGCUGGCGGCCACGGUGCGGGCGGCGCUCCUCGGCUGGCUCUUCUUCUGCCUCACCGUCGCCAGCGACGUCGCACGCCAACUCAGGAGCAGCGAUCUCUCAGUCUAAGGCCGGCCGCGUUCGACAUCGCCGGCGGCAAAGAACAGACUCUGCGUCUACGAAGUGCCACUCCAGUGCACAGGAAGAAGAUUGAUUUACAGCAGGGUAACCAGAUGUGAUUUUGCAACGAACCCGCAGUUAGGUGCAGGUGCUCGUCUUUAGAAGACGGUUGUCCUUGAGACUCAUUGAGCAGAUGAUCCCUGUAAAUUUUCAACUAAAGCGUGUUGUUCCUUGGCUCA